rnacentral:rRNA from 1 species
GAAGGAAAUUAAGUACGGAAGUUCCUGAUUUCACGCUGUCAAGAAAAGCCUCUAGGAAGAGUAGUACUGCCCGUACCGCAAACCGACACAGGUAGAUGAGGAGAGAAUCCUAAGGUGAGCGAGAGAACUCUCGUUAAGGAACUCGGCAAAAUGACCCCGUAACUUCGGGAGAAGGGGUGCUCUAUUAGGGUGCAAGCCCGAGAGAGCCGCAGUGAAUAGGCCCAGGCGACUGUUUAGCAAAAACACAGGUCUCUGCAAAACCGUAAGGUGACGUAUAGGGGCUGACGCCUGCCCGGUGCUGGAAGGUUAAGAGGAGUGCUUAGCUUCGGCGAAGGUACGAAUUGAAGCCCCAGUAAACGGCGGCCGUAACUAUAACGGUCCUAAGGUAGCGAAAUUCCUUGUCGGGUAAGUUCCGACCCGCACGAAAGGCGCAACGAUCUGGGCACUGUCUCAACGAGAGACUCGGUGAAAUUAUAGUACCUGUGAAGAUGCAGGUUACCCGCGACAGGACGGAAAGACCCCGUGGAGCUUUACUGCAACCUGAUAUGGAAUGUUUGUACCGCUUGUACAGGAUAGGUAGGAGCCGAAGAGACGUGUGCGCUAGCAUACGAGGAGGCAAUGGUGGGAUACUACCCUGGCUGUAUGACCAUUCUAACCCGCCACGCUUAGCGCGUGGGGAGACAGUGUCAGGUGGGCAGUUUGACUGGGGCGGUCGCCUCCUAAAGAGUAACGGAGGCGCCCAAAGGUUCCCUCAGAAUGGAUGGAAAUCAUUCGCAGAGUGUAAAGGCACAAGGGAGC